GGGUGCGAUCAUACCAACGUUAAUUCACCGGAUCCCAUUAGAGCUCUGCAGUUAAACGCGCUUAGGCUAGAGUAGUACUGGGAUGGGUGACCUCCUGGGAAGUCCUAGUGUUGCACCCU
rnacentral:rRNA from 1 species